CGUCAAGAUGGUUGAUAUCGGAGGAGAGGGCAUCCCGUGCAUUGUUAUUGAAGUAAUCAAAGAACCUCGCAAUGGUAAAGUCGGUCUUGGUUUCAGCAUUGGUGGCGGAAUGAUCAAGAUCCAUCCAAGAAUCCGAUAUCCCCAAAUGAUAAUGGCAUUUUUGUAACGAAUGUUGCGCAGGGCGGUCCUGCUGACAGGGCUGGACUCAGAUACGCAGACAAAAUACUAGAGGCAAAUGGUUUUGAUUUAACCAUGGCAACGCAUAAACAUGCUGUAAAAUUACUGUCGAAAGAGAGAGAGCCAAGAGUUGUAAUGAAAGUUACAAGACCAGGAUUGGUUCCACCGCACUGAUCUAUUGCCUUUGUAAAAAAUUUUCCUCAUCAAAUAGCGGAACUUAUUGCCAUGCCAGCUUACCAGACAAGAAACACAUAGCAAAGCCAAUUUAUUAUAUAAAUCCAGCUCUGUCCAAAUCAGUGGCUUUUUCUCACUUCUCAUUGGUCAGUGACUGACUGCAUGCCAGGUGUUACUGUUUCAUCAACCAAUAGUUUUGGACAAUGAAUUUUUGCUGAAACUUUUAUAAGAUAAAAUGUUGCAAGCAAUUUUGAUAAUUCUAGAUGCAGAUAAUAUAUGGUGUAUAUAAAGGGUGUUUGGUCAUCUUAUUGUCACAGUGAAGCUACAAUCUGAUUAAAAUGAGAUGUAUU